rnacentral:rRNA from 1 species
UGGGGAAUAUUGCACAAUGGGCGCAAGCCUGAUGCAGCCAUGCCGCGUGUGUGAAGAAGGCCUUCGGGUUGUAAAGCACUUUCAGCGAGGAGGAAGGGUAGUGUGUUAAUAGCACAUUGCAUUGACGUUACUCGCAGAAGAAGCACCGGCUAACUCCGUGCCAGCAGCCGCGGUAAUACGGAGGGUGCAAGCGUUAAUCGGAAUUACUGGGCGUAAAGCGCACGCAGGCGGUUUGUUAAGUCAGAUGUGAAAUCCCGCGCUUAACGUGGGAACUGCA